rnacentral:rRNA from 1 species
CCUUCUGUGCCGCAGUUAACACAAUAAGUAUUCCGCCUGGGGAGUACGGUCGCAAGAUUAAAACUCAAAGGAAUUGACGGGGGCCCGCACAAGCAGCGGAGCAUGUGGUUUAAUUCGAAGCAACGCGAAGAACCUUACCUAGACUUGACAUCCCCUGAAUUACUCGUAACGGAGGAAGCCCUUCGGGGCAGGGAGACAGGUGGUGCACGGUUGUCGUCAGCUCGUGUCGUGAGAUGUUGGGUUAAGUCCCGCAACGAGCGCAACCCUUAUCAUUAGUUGCUACCAUUAAGUUGAGCACUCUAAUGAGACCGCCCGGGUUAACCGGGAGGAAGGUGGGGAUGACGUCAAAUCAUCAUGCCCCUUAUGUCUAGGGCUACACACGUGCUACAAUGGUGAGUACAGAGAGAUGCAAGACCGCGAGGUGGAGCUAAACUCAAAAACUCAUCCCAGUUCGGAUUGUAGGCUGAAACUCGCCUACAUGAAGCCGGAGUUGCUAGUAAUCGCGAAUCAGCAUGUCGCGGUGAAUACGUUCCCGGGCCUUGUACACACCGCCCGUCACACCAUGAGAGUUGGCAACACCCGAAGUCCGUGAGGUAACCGUAAGGAGCCAGCGGCCGAAGGUGGGGUCAAUGAUUGGGGUGAAGUC